ACGCUCGACACCUAGGCAGCAGUGGGGAAUAUUGCACAAUGGGGGAAACCCGUGAUGCAGCAACGCCGCGUGAAGGAAGACGGUUUCGGAUUGUAAACUUCUGUUCUUAGUGAAGAUAGUGACGGUAGCUAAGGAGCAAGCCACGGCUAACUACGUGCCGGCAGCCGCGGUAAUCUGAGCGGGCUGGCAAGGC
rnacentral:rRNA from 1 species